rnacentral:rRNA from 1 species
GCCCCAGUAACGGCGAGUGAAGCGGCAAUAGCUCAAAUUUGAAAUCUCGCCCCCUUUGGGGUCCGAGUUGUAAUUUGGAGAGGGUGCUUUGGUGUUGGCAGCAGCCUAAGUUCCUUGGAACAGGUCAUCAUAGAGGGUGAGAAUCCCGUAUGUGGCUGAUUGUCUUCACCGUGUAAAGCCCCUUCGACGAGUCGAGUUGUUUGGGAAUGCAGCUCUAAAUGGGAGGUAAAUUUCUUCUAAAGCUAAAUACUGGCCAGAGACCGAUAGCGCACAAGUAGAGUGAUCGAAAGAUGAAAAGCACUUUGGAAAGAGAGUCAAAAAGCACGUGAAAUUGUUGAAAGGGAAGCGCUUGCAGCCAGACGUGCCUGUAGUUGCUCAUCUGGGGAUUUCCCCAGUGCACUCUUCUAUGGGCAGGCCAGCAUCAGUCUGGGCGGUUGGAGAAAGGCCUGUGUCACGUAGCUGCUUUCGGGCAGUGUUAUAGGGCAGGUGGAAUACGACCAGCCUGGACUGAGGUCCGCGCAUCUGCUAGGAUGCUGGCGUAAUGGCUGUAAGCGGCCCGUCUUGAAACACGGACCAAGGAGUCUAACAUCUAUGCGAGUGUUUGGGUGUCAAGCCCGAGCGCGCAAUGAAAGUGAACGGAGGUGGGAACCCUCGGGUGCACCAUCGACCGAUCCUGAUGUCUUCGGAUGGAUUUGAGUAAGAGCAUAGCUGUUGGGACCCGAAAGAUGGUGAACUAUGCCUGAAUAGGGUGAAGCCAGAGGAAACUCUGGUGGAGGCUCGCAGCGGUUCUGACGUGCAAAUCGAUCGUCAAAUUUGGGCAUAGGGGCGAAAGACUAAUCGA